GGCAAACUGCUCAGUAACACGUCGAUAAUUUGCCCUUAGGUCUGGAAUAACCUCGGGAAACUGAGGCUAAUACCGGAUAGAGUAAUAGUACUGGAAUGUCAUUCCUCUAAAAGUAAUGCCUAAGGAUAAGUUGGCGGCCGAUUAGGUUGUUGGUGAGGUAACGGCUCACCAAGCCAAAGAUCGGUAGGGGCCCUGAAAGGGGUAGCCCCGAGAAGGGCACUGAGAUACAGGCCCUAGCCCUACGGGGUGCAGCAGGCGCGAAACCUUUACAAUGCACGAAAGUGUGAUAAGGGGAUCCCAAGUGCUCUGGUUUUACCAGGGCUUUUGCCAAAUGUAAAUAGUUUGGCGAAUAAGUGGUGGGCAAGACUGGUGCCAGCCGCCGCGGUAACACCAGCGUCCACGAGUGGUAACCGUUUUUAUUGGGCCUAAAGCGUCCGUAGCUGUUUGGUAGAUUCUUUGUGAAAUUGUCAGGCUUAACCUGCCAACGCGCAGAGGAGACCGCCAAACUUGGAACCGGGAGGGGUUAGAGGUAUUCUAGGGGGAGCGGUAAAAUGUUAUAAUCCUUAGAGGACCACCUGUGGCGAAGGCGUCUAACCAGAACGGAUUCGACGGUGAGGGACGAAAGCUAGGGGAGCAAUCCGGAUUAGAUACCCGAGUAGUCCUAGCUGUAAACUCUGCGAGCUAGGUGUUGCACAUUCUUAGAGGAUGUGUAGUGUCGAAGCGAAGGUGUUAAGCUCGCCGCCUGGGAAGUAUGGUCGCAAGACUGAAACUUAAAGGAAUUGGCGGGGGAGCACUACAAGGGGUGCGGCGUGCGGUUUAAUCUAAUUCAACGCAGAGAAUCUCACCAGAAGCGACGGCAGGAUGAAGGUCAGUCUAGAGGGCUUACCUGACGAGCCGAGAGGUAGUGCAUGGCCGCCGUCAGCUCGUGCCGUAAGGUGUCCUGUUAAGUCAGGCAACGAGCGAGACCUGUGCUUACAAUUGCUAACGAGUCUGCAAAGAUGGUCGAGCACAUUGUGAGAACUGCCCUGGAAACAGGGAGGAAGGUGCAGGCUACGGUAGGUCUGUAUGCUCCGAAUCUUCUGGGCUACACGCGCGCAACAAUGGUAGAGACAAUGGGAUACAACUCCGAAAGGAGAAGUUAACCCUCUAAACUCUAUCUCAGUCCAGAUUGAGGGCUGUAACUUGCCCUCAUGACGUUGGAAUCCCUAGUAAUCGGAGUUUAUCAUACUCCGGUGAAUAUGUCCCUGCUCCUUGCACACACCGCCCGUCAAGCCACCCGAGUAGGGUUUAGAUGAGGUCUUAUUUUCAAUAAGUUCAAAUCUAAACUCAGCGAGGAGGGCUAAGUCGUCACAAGGUA
rnacentral:rRNA from 1 species